rnacentral:tRNA from 1 species
GCGCGAGUGGCGGAAUUGGUAGACGCGCACGGUUCAGGUCCGUGUGUCCUAACAGACGUGGGGGUUCGAGUCCCCCCUCGCGCA